GGAAGCACCGGCUAACUCCGUGCCAGCAGCCGCGGUAAUACGGAGGGUGCAAGCGUUGUCCGGAAUCAUUGGGCGUAAAGAGUUCGUAGGUGGUUUGUUAAGUUUGGUGUUAAAUGCAGAGGCUCAACUUCUGUUCGGCAUCGGAUACUGGCAGACUAGAAUGCGGUAGAGGUAAAGGGAAUUCCUGGUGUAGCGGUGAAAUGCGUAGAUAUCAGGAGGAACAUCGGUGGCGUAAGCGCUUUACUGGGCCGUAAUUGACACUGAGGAACGAAAGCCAGGGUAGCAAAUGGGAUUAGAUACCCCAGUAGUCCUGGCCGUAAACGAUGGAUACUAGGUGUUGCGGGUAUCGACCCCUGCAGUGCCGUAGCUAACGCGUUAAGUAUCCCGCCUGGGGAGUACGCACGCAAGUGUGAAACUCAAAGGAAUUGACGGGGACCCGCACAAGCGGUGGAACAUGUGGUUUAAUUCGAAGCAACGCGAAGAACCUUACCAGGGCUUGACAUCUAACAAACCUUUGUGAAAGCAGAGGGUGCUCUUCGGAGAAUGUUAAGACAGGUGGUGCACGGUUGUCGUCAGCUCGUGUCGUGAGAUGUUGGGUUAAGUCCCGCAACGAGCGCAACCCUCGUCGUUAGUUGGUACUAUCGGUAUACUUAUAGUAACCUCUCUAGCGAGACUGCCGGUGAUAAACCGGAGGAAGGUGAGGACGACGUCAAAUCAUCAUGCCCCUUAUGCUCUGGGCUACACACGUGUUACAAUGGCCGGUACAAUGAGCCGCCAACUCGCGAGAGUGAGCAAAUCUCUAAAAGCCGGUCUCAGUUCGGAUUGCAGUCUGCAACUCGACUGCAUGAAGUCGGAAUCGCUAGUAAACGCAGAUCAGCACGCUGCGUUGAAUACGUUCCCGGGUCUUGUACACACCGCCCGUCACACCAUGGAAGUCGACCACGCCCGAAGUACGUGAGCUAACCGUAAGGAAGCAGCGUCCUAAGGCAGGGUUGGUGACUGGGGUGAAGUCGUAACAAGGUAGCCGUACCGGAAGGUGUGGCUG
rnacentral:rRNA from 1 species